rnacentral:rRNA from 1 species
AACGAACGCUGGCGGCAUGCCUAACACAUGCAAGUCGAACGAGACCUUCGGGUCUAGUGGCGCACGGGUGCGUAACGCGUGGGAACCUGCCCUUAGGUUCGGAAUAACUCCCCGAAAGGGGUGCUAAUACCGGAUAAUGUCUUCGGACCAAAGGUUUAUCGCCUUUGGAUGGGCCCGCGUUGGAUUAGCUAGUUGGUAGGGUAAAAGCCUACCAAGGCGACGAUCCAUAGCUGGUCUGAGAGGAUGAUCAGCCACACUGGGACUGAGACACGGCCCAGACUCCUACGGGAGGCAGCAGUGGGGAAUAUUGGACAAUGGGCGAAAGCCUGAUCCAGCAAUGCCGCGUGAGUGAUGAAGGCCUUAGGGUUGUAAGCUCUUUUACCCGGGAUGAUAAUGACAGUACCGGGAGAAUAAGCGCCGGCUAACUCCGUG